AGCAGUAGCCGCGGUAAUACAGAGGGUGCGAGCGUUAAUCGGAUUUACUGGGCGUAAAGCGUGCGUAGGCGGCUUCUUAAGUCGGAUGUGAAAUCCCUGAGCUUAACUUAGGAAUUGCAUUCGAUACUGGGAAGCUAGAGUAUGGGAGAGGAUGGUAGAAUUCCAGGUGUAGCGGUGAAAUGCGUAGAGAUCUGGAGGAAUACCGAUGGCGAAGGCAGCCAUCUGGCCUAAUACUGACGCUGAGGUACGAAAGCAUGGGGAGCAAACAGGAUUAGAUACCCGCGUAGUCCCUGUCUCUUAUAU
rnacentral:rRNA from 1 species